GAUGAACGCUGGCGGCGUGCUUAACACAUGCAAGUCGAACGGAAAGGCCCUGCUUUUGUGGGGUGCUCGAGUGGCGAACGGGUGAGUAACACGUGAGUAACCUGCCCUUGACUUUGGGAUAACUUCAGGAAACUGGGGCUAAUACCGGGUAGGAGCCCCUGCUGCAUGGUGGGGGUUGGAAAGUUUCGGCGGUUGGGGAUGGACUCGCGGCUUAUCAGCUUGUUGGUGGGGUAGUGGCUUACCAAGGCUUUGACGGGUAGCCGGCCUGAGAGGGUGACCGGCCACAUUGGGACUGAGAUACGGCCCAGACUCCUACGGGAGGCAGCAGUGGGGAAUAUUGCACAAUGGGCGGAAGCCUGAUGCAGCAACGCCGCGUGCGGGAUGACGGCCUUCGGGUUGUAAACCGCUUUCGCCUGUGACGAAGCGUGAGUGACGGUAAUGGGUAAAGAAGCACCGGCUAACUACGUG
rnacentral:rRNA from 1 species